GUGCCUAAUACAUGCAAGUCGAACGAACUCUGGUAUUGAUUGGUGCUUGCAUCAAUGAUUUACAUUUGAGUGAGUGGCGAACUGGUGAGUAACACGUGGGAAACCUGCCCAGAAGCGGGGGAUAACACCUGGAAACAGAUGCUAAUACCGCAUAACAACUUGGACCGCAUGGUCCGAGCUUGAAAGAUGGCUUCGGCUAUCACUUUUGGAUGGUCCCGCGGCGUAUUAGCUAGAUGGUGGGGUAACGGCUCACCAUGGCAAUGAUACGUAGCCGACCUGAGAGGGUAAUCGGCCACAUUGGGACUGAGACACGGCCCAAACUCCUACGGGAGGCAGCAGUAGGGAAUCUUCCACAAUGGACGAAAGUCUGAUGGAGCAACGCCGCGUGAGUGAAGAAGGGUUUCGGCUCGUAAAACUCUGUUGUUAAAGAAGAACAUAUCUGAGAGUAACUGUUCAGGUAUUGACGGUAUUUAACCAGAAAGCCACGGCUAACUACGUGCCAGCAGCCGCGGUAAUACGUAGGUGGCAAGCGUUGUCCGGAUUUAUUGGGCGUAAAGCGAGCGCAGGCGGUUUUUUAAGUCUGAUGUGAAAGCCUUCGGCUCAACCGAAGAAGUGCAUCGGAAACUGGGAAACUUGAGUGCAGAAGAGGACAGUGGAACUCCAUGUGUAGCGGUGAAAUGCGUAGAUAUAUGGAAGAACACCAGUGGCGAAGGCGGCUGUCUGGUCUGUAACUGACGCUGAGGCUCGAAAGUAUGGGUAGCAAACAGGAUUAGAUACCCUGGUAGUCCAUACCGUAAACGAUGAAUGCUAAGUGUUGGAGGGUUUCCGCCCUUCAGUGCUGCAGCUAACGCAUUAAGCAUUCCGCCUGGGGAGUACGGCCGCAAGGCUGAAACUCAAAGGAAUUGACGGGGGCCCGCACAAGCGGUGGAGCAUGUGGUUUAAUUCGAAGCUACGCGAAGAACCUUACCAGGUCUUGACAUACUAUGCAAAUCUAAGAGAUUAGACGUUCCCUUCGGGGACAUGGAUACAGGUGGUGCAUGGUUGUCGUCAGCUCGUGUCGUGAGAUGUUGGGUUAAGUCCCGCAACGAGCGCAACCCUUAUUAUCAGUUGCCAGCAUUAAGUUGGGCACUCUGGUGAGACUGC
rnacentral:rRNA from 1 species